UACGAAGGGUGCAAACGUUGCUCGGAAUCAUUGGGCGUAAAGCGCACGUAGGCGGCCUGGUAAGUCGGAUGUGAAAUCCCUCGGCUCAACCGAGGAAGUGCAUCCGAAACUGCUGGGCUCGAGUACUGAAGAGGGUCGCAGAAUUCCCGGUGUAGAGGUGAAAUUCGUAGAUAUCGGGAGGAAUACCAGUGGCGAAGGCGGCGACCUGGGCAGAUACUGACGCUGAGGUGCGAAAGCGUGGGGAGCAGACAGG
rnacentral:rRNA from 1 species